CAAUAGCGUAUAUUAAAGUUGUUGCAGUUAAAAAGCUCGUAGUUGGAUUUCUGGUCGGAAGCUCCUGUCCUCUGAUGAGCGUACAAGUGCGUCCUACCAUCCUUCUGUUAACCUUUAAGGCUUUCGCGGCUUUCUAGGGGCUCAGAUAUUUUACCUUGAGAAAAUUAGAGUGUUUCAGGCAGGCUAGCGCCGGAAUACAUUAGCAUGGAAUAAUGGAAUAGGACUUUUGCCUCUUCUGUUGGUCAUGAGGCUCGAGUAAUGGUUAAUAGGGAUAGUUGGGGGCAUUAGUACUUAACUGUCAGAGGUGAAAUUCUCGGAUUUGUUAAAGACUAACUUAUGCGAAAGCAUUUGCCAAGGAUGUUUUCAUUAA
rnacentral:rRNA from 1 species